rnacentral:lncRNA from 10 species
UAUAGUUAAUAAUAACGGUAUUGUAUACUUGAAAUUUGCUAAAAUGGUACUUUGUGGUGUGUUUGUUUUUUGUUUUUUGGUUUUUUUUUUUGACAGAGUUUCGCUCUCGUUGCCACUCCCAACCUCAGGUGAUCCGCCCACCUCAGCCUCCCAAAGUGCUGGGAUUACAGGCAUGAGCCACCGCACCCAGCCCUUUGUUUUGUUUUCUUAGAGACAGGGUCUCAUUUGGUCACCCAGGUGGGAUACAGUGGCAUGAUUUUAUCUCAUUGCAGCCUUGAAGCUCAUGCCUGUAAUCCCAGCACUUUGGGAGGCAGAGACAGGUGAAUCACCUGAGGUCAGGAGUUUGAGAACAGCCUGGCCAAUAUGGUGAAACCCCAUCUCUAUUAAAAAUGCAAAAAUUAGCCAGGCAUGGUGGUGUGUGCCUGUAAUCCCAAUUACUCGGGAGGCUGAGGCAGGAGAAUCGUUUGAACCCGGGAAGCGGAGGUUGCAGUGAGCCGAUAUCGCACCACUGCACACUGCACUCCAGCCUGGGUGAUAGAGUGAGACACUGUCUCAAAAAAAAAAAAAAAAAAAAAAAGGUGAAUUUCAUGGUGUAUAUAUCAUAUCUCAAUUUUAAAAAUAACAC